rnacentral:rRNA from 1 species
AAUAUUGUGCAAUGGGGGCAACCCUGACACAGCCAUGCCGCGUGAGUGAAGAAGGCCUUAGGGUUGUAAAGCUCUUUCAGAUGUGAGGAUGAUGACGAUAGCAUCACAAGAAGCUCCGGCUAACUUCGUGCCAGCAGCCGCGGUAAUACGAAGGGAGCAAGCGUUGUUCGGAAUUACUGGGCGUAAAGGGCGUGUAGGCGGAUUAUCAAGUUAGGGGUGAAAUCCCGGGGCUCAACCUCGGCACUGCCUUUAAGACUGAUAAUCUAGAGUAUGUGAGGGGAUAAUGGAAUACCUAGUGUAGAGGUGAAAUUCGUAGAUAUUAGGUGGAACACCAGUGGCGAAGGCGAUUAUCUGGCACAUUACUGACGCUGAGGCGCGAAAGCGUGGGGAGCAAACGGGAUUAGAUACCCCGGUAGUCCACGCCGUAAACGAUGUAUACUAGUUGUCGGGCAUUGGUUCGGUGACGCAGCUAACGCAUUAAGUAUACCGCCUGGGGAG